UAGGUGUUAACCACUGAAUGUGUCAUCAGUAGGUGUUAACCACUGAAUGUGUCAUCGGUAGGUGUUAACCACCGAAUGUGUCGUCAGUAGGUGUUAACCACUGAAUGUGUCGUCGGUAGGUGUUAACCACUGAAUGUGUCGUCGGUAGGUGUUAACCACUGAAUGUGUCGUCGGUAGGUGUUAACCACUGAAUGUGUCGUCGGUAGGUGUUAACCACUGAAUGUGUCGUCGGUAGGCGUUAACCACUGAAUGUGUCAUCAGUAGGUGUAGGCCACAAUGAGUUAGCAGAAAGGAAAAUGGAGGGUAUAAAGGGGGCAAUUUUGGGGUACGACUCUCUUUGAGGUUCCUAGAAGAAUCUGUUGACUGCUGGAAGAAGAUUUUUGCUCUAGUUUUUUAGCUUAAAAUAUAUUUUGAUUUUAAAGUAAAAUUCUAGGAGGAUUCCUUAAGUUUACCCCAUUGAUAGAAAUGUGUUAAAGUAACGUUUUAGAUGCCAUCUGAGGGACUGAUCAUCCUGAGAGCCAAAUAAAAAACAUUUAUAAAGUUGUAGAAUGUAAGAAACUGUUUUUCUUGUUAUUAACAAUUGUGCUUCACAUAAAAUUGUAAUAGACAAUAAAUAUUGUAUUGGCAUCCCCACAAUGGUUGAGUUAAGGGCUGUGACGGG
rnacentral:lncRNA from 1 species